UGGGUCCACAGUCCCCAUGCCCUCCAAAAUUGUACCUACGCCAUUUGAUUCCCGUGAGUUCAGCCAGCGAAAAGAGGUUGGAGUGACAAUCCUCCAGGCUCGCCCCGUUCGCCACCCAGUUCGCUGCCGCAGUCAUGAUCCUCCGCGAGCCCGGCCGCCAGAGCGGGGCAUGUCGGAGCGAGGCGUCCGAGGCGAGGCCGGGCCGGGCGGCGGCGCCUCGCCGGGGAGCGCGGGGCGGCCGGGCCGCCGCCGCCGCCGGGGGAGGGCGCGAGGGCCGGCGGG
rnacentral:lncRNA from 1 species